GAUCAUGGCUCAGGAUGAACGCUAGCUACAGGCUUAACACAUGCAAGUCGAGGGGCAGCAUGACGAUAGCUUGCUAUUGUUAAUGGCGACCGGCGCACGGGUGAGUAACGCGUAUCCAACCCGCCCUUGUCCAUCGGAUAACCCGUCGAAAGGCGGCCUAACACGAUAUGCAGUUCUCAGCAGGCAUCUAACGAGAACGAAAUGUGAAGGAGAAGGAUGGGGAUGCG
rnacentral:rRNA from 1 species